rnacentral:rRNA from 1 species
AUUGAACGCUGGCGGCAGGCUUAACACAUGCAAGUCGAGCGAGAGGCGGACGGGUGAGUAUUGUCUGGGAAACUGCAUGAUGGAGGGGGAUAACUAUUGGAAACGGGAGCUAAUACCGCAUACCAUCAGAUGUGCCCAGAUGGGAUUAGCUAGUAGGUGGGGUAACGGCUCACCUAGGCGACGAUCCCUAGCUGGUCUGAGAGGAUGACCAGCCACACUGGAACUGAGAAACGGUCCAGACUCCUACGGGAGGCAGCAGUGGGGAAUAUUGCACAAUGGGCGCAAGCCUGAUGCAGCCAUGCCGCGUGUGUGAAGAAGGCCUUCGGGUUGUAAAGCACUUUCAGCGGGGAGGCGUUACCCGCAGAAGAAGCACCGGCUAACUCCGUGCCAGCAGCCGCGGUAAUUC